UAAGCAUUAGAAUCAAAGUUUUGCCUAUGAAAAAGUAUCAAUGGUUAUAUUAUACAUAUAUGCAAAGUUAUCAUUUAUGGAUACAUGAUAUUUUCAAUUAAAUAUUGCAUUAUUUUUUAAUUAAAUUAAGGUCUUAGUAUGCUAGUUUCUUCCGCAUUAGCACGGACCUUAAUUUAAAUCCGUGGCAUUAUUAAUGCUAAAUGCUUUAUUACACAAACGGUAUCUAGGCAUAUCACGCGUUUUCAAAACAACCAAUGAGAUUAAAGCGUUGGUUUUGUAUCACGUGAAUCAUAUCAACCAAUCAGAAAUAGCGCGGGCGAAAUGAAAAAAGAAAAAAACACGAUUGGAAAUGGAUAAGAGAUAAAAUUCAGAAUAUUGCAAAACAAGGACAGUGUAAAGCGUGUUUAAAUCUUCCAGAAAUGCAACUGUGCCCUCUUUACAGCAAUUAUAGAUGGAGCAAAGUAUGGUAGCAAGUUAUAUAGAUAUACACACAUGCCGAAGAAGAUUGUAAUAUCUGGAGAAAACAUUUCCUUCGUCAAGAAAUAGACACCGUUACACUGGUCAACGUAACAUUCCUGUUAUAGAUGAUUGAUAUAUUUAAGUGCUUUUAAGAAUAGUGUUUGAAUGUCGAAUUUCUGUGAAUACGGAUUUUUAGUUUUAAUGGUUAUUAUUAAAACUUUCUGUUAUAAUCAAUUUGUGCUAUGGACUCAUUUUCCUAAAAUAAUAUGUGAAUGUUAACACGAACAAAAUGAUAUUAAUAUCUUUAAAAUGUUUUAUGGGUGUAAUAUAAGUGGCUCAUAAAAAUCAUUGUUAAGAUAAAAAGAAAAGAACUUCAAGUUGGUAUAGUUUGUUCUAGAUUUAAACAACAUGCAAUUCAUAAAGGUUACGGCUUGAAAAUAUCGAAACAUGUACAUGUAUAAUUCGAUCUUUGAAGAAAAUAUCGCGGUGAGGAUGUUCUGCACUGUGAUACGUAUUACAUGACUCUGUAUCGCAACAUACCGGUAUAUCGCUAUUCCGUUGCAACGCUACAUUAAUGUGUCCCUCUAGAAUAUAAGGCUUACAACAAUAUAUGACUGUUGAAGACAUGUUUAUUUUGUUUAAUAUAUGUAUACAUAUUGAAUAUAUGUUUAAGAAAUAAUAAAUAUUUAAGAGUGACUCGAUUUGGUUUUUACUUUAUUAUUUGAAAUACUCCAAUUGUGAAGAUAAAGUUCUUAAGCAUAUGACUUUACAGUUCCCAUUCACAAUGUGUAAUCAAACAUGUUCUAUUGUACAAGCCUGCAUUUCGGUCAUGUAUAAGUGUCACUUAUAUGUUAAUGCAUGCUUUUGAUAUUAUCUGUACCUUCUUUUAUCUCGAAAAUACAGUUCUGUAUACCCUGUGUAAAACUAAAAAAUGCAAUUCCAUAUAUCCCAAGUAUAUAUUGAAAAUACGAUUCCGUAUAUUCCCUGUAUAUGUAGAAAAUACGAUUCCGUAUAUCUUCUGUAUAUGUAGAAAAUACGAUUCCGUAUAUUCCCUGUAUAUGUAGAAAAUACGAUUCCGUAUAUCUUCUGUAUAUGCAGAAUAUACGAUUCCGUAUAUCAUCUGUAUAUGUGGAAAAUACGAUUCCGUAUAUCCUCUGUAUAUGUAGAAUAUACGGUUCCGUAUAUCCUCUGUAUACGUAGAAAAUACGAGUCCGUAUAUCCUCUGUAUAUGUAGAAAAUACGGUCCCGUAUAUCCCUGGUAUAUUUAUUGUAUACUAGGGAUAACAACCUUGAUAAAUUCCGUAUACGGGAUUUUAUUCUCCGUAUACUUCAAAAGUACGAACAAAUAUACGUACAUGUAUAUGGGGCAAAUACGGAAUUCCGUAUAUGCCUGAUGCAUAUACGGACUUCCCGUAUACCCGGUGUUCCCUAUACGGACUCGUAUACUUGGUCCGUAUAUUCGACAAAUACAUCCCGUACACGCCCGUAUUUGUCAAAAAUACGGGGCCGUAUAUUCCCGUAUAUCAGUAUAUUUUUCGCAGUGAA